CACUGAUGGAAUUGCAUCUCAGAAGAAAGUGGAAAUAAACCAGACAUCCCAGGCAGACAGAAUAGCUGGAGCAAUGAUAACGUGUCUUAUGAGUCACUUCAAAUUCAGUACUUUAACUGCAGAUCUUCCUCUUUAUUUUCAAUAUUGGAUUGCAUAUUAACAGAUUUGAACAUAAAGCAAGAACAGUUUAUUCGUGACUUCUUAAAAAAAAACAGGCCAUUCAAAUCAAACAUGCCUAUAUGGCACUGAUUUAAAGAGAAGUCCUAGAUGCUCUAUUAGAAUAUGAUUUCUCCACUAUGAUGUUUCUACUGUUCAAGAACUCUUUCAACAAAUAGAGCAAAUAGCAAUUUCAAGUUUUUUUCUAAAACUCAUCUGUUUUUAAAAGAUAAUAAAGAAUAUAGGAUUAAAAUAGUGAUACAUGUGAUCCUACAUAUGAGAAAAAAUGCAUUUUAAAAAAUGUAUUCUGAUUGAAGAAAACAAAAUAUAAACAAAGUACUAGAUUUUACUAUAAGUUUAUUCAAAAAGUUUGAAAAAAAUUAAGAAAUUCAUUAAAGCAAAGAGCAGACCAAAAAUAAAAAUAAAUUCACAACAACUGAUUUUCCAUGUUUCAGGAGGGCUGCAGAUGGAGUACAGUGUUCAGAGAAGUUCACAAGGACCAGGAAGGUCAGUAUAAGGUGAUUCUUUGGUGGAUUGUAUCACUGACCUCAACUCUUUCCACACCCUUCUACCUAUAUCCUGUCCAUGGAUUUACUAUUGCCAGAGAAUAUGUGCCCAUCCCUUAACUUUGGUCUCUACCCUGUGAUUUUCUUUAACCACAGAAUGAAAGCAGAAGUGACAGUGUCACACUCUGAGCAUGAGUCAAAGAGACUGUUCAGUUUCUGAUUGUCAUUUGUUCCUUACAUAUUCACAUCAGAUGUUCAUCACAAUUAUUAAAGUAAGUCCUACAGCUCCACAUAUAAGGAAUGAUGGGCAUGUGGAAGAGAACGACUUCAAAACAACCCACAGAAUUGCAGCAAUGAGAAAAAGCUCCCAGCCACAAAACCCUGAAUAAAGCACUUAUCUUGGCCCAGCCAAUCUGCAGACA